GCCCCCGUAGCUCAGGGGAGAGAGCAACGGUUUCCUAAACCGUGUGUCGCAGGUUCGAAUCCUGCCGGGGGCG
rnacentral:tRNA from 1 species